UACGAGGGGGGCAAGCGUUGUUCGGAAUUAUUGGGCGUAAAGGGCGCGUAGGCGGUGCGGUAAGUCUGAUGUGAAAUCUCCGGGCUCAACUCGGAGUCUGCAUCAGAAACUGCCGUGCUCGAGUGUGGGAGAGGUGAGUGGAAUUCCCAGUGUAGAGGUGAAAUUCGUAGAUAUUGGGAAGAACACCGGUGGCGAAGGCGGCUCUCUGGACCGUAACUGACGCUGAGGCGCGAAAGCGUGGGGAGCAAACAGG
rnacentral:rRNA from 1 species